rnacentral:rRNA from 1 species
UACAGAGACCUCAAGCGUUAUCCGGAUUUAUUGGGCGUAAAGCGUCCGCAGGUGGCCAGGCAAGUCAGGGGUCAAAACUCAGAGCUUAACUCUGAGAUUGCUUCUGAUACUAUCUGGCUUGAGAACGGGAGAGGCAAGCGGAAUUCUCGGUGUAGUCGUAAUAAGCGUUGAUAUCGAGAAGAACACCAAAUGCGAAAGCAGCUUGCUAGUACGUUUCUGACACUCAUGGACGAAAGCGUGGGGAG